UAAAAGAUAAGCUAAAAUAAAGCUAAUGGGUUCAUACCUCAUUUAUGGGUUUAUCCCUCUUUUUA
rnacentral:tRNA from 1 species